CCCAGUUUCGUUAACAUAACACUCAACAAGAUUUUUGCUUUAAUAACAACCAAGUUCGUGCAGCCUAAAAUGAACGUUACGCAAGCAAGAGGAAACAUCCCAUUGGGCACGGACUACUUGCUGGAUGUCAAUGAUGUAGUAUAUGUUGCACUAGACAUUUUGAUCAACUGUGUCCUGUCUCAGUUCCUUGCAUGGCUGGGUUUAGUUGCUCAGAGGUUUUCUGUGACACCCAAGGAUACCGUUGAGUGGCCAAAUAUCCCAGCAUGAGGCUGUGACUUG
rnacentral:sRNA from 1 species